rnacentral:rRNA from 1 species
UACGAAGGGGCUAGCGUUGCUCGGAAUCACUGGGCGUAAAGGGUGCGUAGGCGGGUCUUUAAGUCAGGGGUGAAAUCCUGGAGCUCAACUCCAGAACUGCCUUUGAUACUGAAGAUCUUGAGUUCGGGAGAGGUGAGUGGAACUGCGAGUGUAGAGGUGAAAUUCGUAGAUAUUCGCAAGAACACCAGUGGCGAAGGCGGCUCACUGGCCCGGUACUGACGCUGAGGUGCGAAGCGUGGGA